GGCUGGGUCCUGCGCAAUGGGAACCCGUGAAACUGGUCAGGCCCGGAAGGGAGCAGCCAUAAGCGGUGAUUCUCAGGUGCGGCAGAGUAACCCAGCCAUC
rnacentral:SRP_RNA from 2 species